AGGGUUUAUCGGUAUACUGGGCGUAAGCGCACGCAGGCGGUCUGUCAAGUCGGAUGUGAAUCCCCGGGCUCAACCUGGGAACUGCAUUCGAAACUGGCAGGCUAGAGUCUUGUAGAGGGGGGUAGAAUUCCAGGUGUAGCGGUGAAAUGCGUAGAGAUCUGGAGGAAUACCGGUGGCGAAGGCGGCCCCCUGGACAAAGACUGACGCUCAGGUGCGAAAGCGUGGGGAGCAAACAGGAUUAGAUACCCUGGUAGUCCACGCCGUAAACGAUGUCGAUUUGGAGGUUGUGCCCUUGAGGCGUGGCUUCCGGAGCUAACGCGUUAAAUCGACCGCCUGGGGAGUACGGCCGCAAGGUUAAAACUCAAAUGAAUUGACGGGGGCCCGCACAAGCGGUGGAGCAUGUGGUUUAAUUCGAUGCAACGCGAAGAACCUUACCUGGUCUUGACAUCCACAGAACUUUCCAGAGAUGGAUUGGUGCCUUCGGGAACUGUGAGACAGGUGCUGCAUGCCUGUCGUCAGCUCGUGUUGUGAAAUGUUGGGUUAAGUCCCGCAACGAGCGCAACCCUUAUCCUUUGUUGCCAGCGUUCGGCCGGGAACUCAAAGGAGACUGCAGUGAUAAACUGAGGAAGGUGGGAUGACGUCAAGUCAUCAUGCCCUACGACAGGGCUACACACGUGCUACAAUGCAUAUACAAGAGAGCGACUCGCGAGAGCAAGCGACUCAUAAGUAUGUCGUAGUCGAUGAGUCUGCACUCGACUCAUGAGUCGGAUCACUAGUAAUCGAGAUCAGAUGCUACGUGAUCUUCCCGGGUCUA
rnacentral:rRNA from 1 species